rnacentral:rRNA from 1 species
AUUGAACGCUGGCGGCAGGCCUAACACAUGCAAGUCGAACGAGGGGCGGGCGGGUGAGUCAUGUCUGGGAAACUGCCAGAUGGAGGGGGAUAACUACUGGAAACGGUAGCUAAUACGGCUUACCAUCCACUGAGCCCAGGUGGGAUUAGCUAGUAGGUGGGGUAAUGGCUCACCUAGGCGACGAUCCCUAGCUGGUCUGAGAGGAUGACCAGCCACACUGGAACUGAGACACGGUCCAGACUCCUACGGGAGGCAGCAGUGGGGAAUAUUGCACAAUGGGCGCAAGCCUGAUGCAGCCAUGCCGCGUGUAUGAAGAAGGCCUUCGGGUUGUAAAGUACUUUCAGCGAGGAGGCGUUACUCGCAGAAGAAGCACCGGCUAACUCCGUGCCAGCAGCCGCGGUAAUAC